rnacentral:piRNA from 1 species
UGAUUUGGAAGCCCCUUGAGUUAUAAAAGU